GACCGCGUAGCUCAGUUGGCAGAGCAUUGGAUUGGGCUAGUAUUCCAAAGGCCGUAGGUUCGAAUCCGGUCCACCGUGGCCA